rnacentral:rRNA from 1 species
GAGUUUGAUCUUGGCUCAGAUUGAACGCUGGCGGCAUGCCUUACACAUGCAAGUCGAACGGCAGCACGGGAGUUUGCUCCUGGUGGCGAGUGGCGAACGGGUGAGUAAUGCAUCGGAACGUAUCCUGGAGUGGGGGAUAACGUAGCGAAAGUUACGCUAAUACCGCAUAUUCUGUGAGCAGGAAAGCGGGGGACCUUCGGGCCUCGCGCUCUUGGAGCGGCCGAUGUCGGAUUAGCUAGUUGGUGAGGUAAAGGCUCACCAAGGCGACGAUCCGUAGCAGGUCUGAGAGGAUGAUCUGCCACACUGGAACUGAGACACGGUCCAGACUCCUACGGGAGGCAGCAGUGGGGAAUUUUGGACAAUGGGGGCAACCCUGAUCCAGCCAUGCCGCGUGAGUGAAGAAGGCC